UGGGGCCCCAAGCCGAACGAGACGUACACAGAGGUGGUGCCGUCGCUGGUGCCGGCGCGGACGCCGCGGCCGCCCAUCGCGGCCGACGGCGACGACAGCUACGUGUUCCCCGACACGGACGGCAACUGCCCGCGCGACGAGGACGCAGCCAAGUUCCAGGGCCGCGUGUGCAUGAAGAAGUGUGAGACCGACGCCAACUGCCUCAGCGCCAACCGCAAGUGCGUCUGCGACGGCGUCUGCGGAAUGUCCUGCGUGAAACAGGACAAAGAGUGUCCGAAGCUAAAGCCGCCCGACUUUGGCCGAAUGAAGCUGAACGAGAGGACGUACGGAGCGACAGCAAAAUACGCCUGCAG